rnacentral:lncRNA from 1 species
CACAGGCAGAGACUGCACCUUUUCCUGGCAGCCAGGGUUUUCUUGAACUACACUUCUCAUCUUCUCAUGUGAACUUGGACUUAAACAGCACAGAUUCCUCCUGUCAGGAGCAGUUUUACACCCAGAAGAGUCAAAAACUGAACACAGCAUCUGUGUGAUUGUAUUGAAGAUUUUAGAACAAGUUCCAGAACUUAUCAAGUUUUUUCAAGUAAUUCAAAAGGCUCUCACCCUCACCAAGGGACUUUGAAGAAAACAAAAUAGAUUUUUCACUGCUGAGAGGACUGAGCUUUGGCCAACAGCGUUGUGUAUGCCAGCCCUGUUCAGCUCAUCCAUGGAGAGACUGUGACCACCGCUUGGUGAGUCCAUGCUUUGGGAGGUGUCCCCACAGAAAGCCCCAUAGAGACGUCUCAAACAGCAGGUUAAAAUUAUGAACUGAUAAUUUAGCUACUAUUGACUGUGAGUUUUUUAAUCUGUCUGGACAUAUGAAUGGUGCAUUUGUUUUUCUGUUUACAACACGGAAAGAGGAAACUCCCAUGAGAAUCUAAAAGAUAUAUGCUUACACAAAAAUGACUGUACCUCACCCUGUGAAUCAGUCUGCAAUGAAUUGAAGAUGGUGUAAGUAAUUUCUUCAAAAU